ACGAACGCUGGCGGCGUGCCUAAUACAUGCAAGUCGAGCGGACCGACGGGAGCUUGCUCCCUUAGGUCAGCGGCGGACGGGUGAGUAACACGUGGGUAACCUGCCUGUAAGACUGGGAUAACUCCGGGAAACCGGGGCUAAUACCGGAUGCUUGAUUGAACCGCAUGGUUCAAUCAUAAAAGGUGGCUUUUAGCUACCACUUGCAGAUGGACCCGCGGCGCAUUAGCUAGUUGGUGAGGUAACGGCUCACCAAGGCGACGAUGCGUAGCCGACCUGAGAGGGUGAUCGGCCACACUGGGACUGAGACACGGCCCAGACUCCUACGGGAGGCAGCAGUAGGGAAUCUUCCGCAAUGGACGAAAGUCUGACGGAGCAACGCCGCCGUGAGUGAUGAAGGUUUUCGGAUCGUAAAACUCUGUUGUUAGGGAAGAACAAGUACCGUUCGAAUAGGGCGGUACCUUGACGGUACCUAACCAGAAAGCCACGGCUAACUACGUGCCAGCAGCCGC
rnacentral:rRNA from 1 species